AUGUGUGUGCAAGCCUGUGCUUGCGGGCGUCGGGGCGGCGGACGCUUGGCCAGGCACCAUAGGAGGGACGAACGGCGCCAUCGGUGCCGAGAGCGAGCCAUCCAGUGUCGGGCGCGGCGAGGACGACGGCGGCAUCCGGCACGGCAAGGAGGACGACAUCUACACUCUAUACAAUCAAGCAGAAGCAUUCAUCCAUCCAUCCAUCCAUCAAGCCUAAAUCCAUCCAUGCAUCCAUCGCGUGCCUGCGCAGCCAUGCAGGGAGCAUGUGUGUCAUCUGCCGUCCGUGCACCAGUGCAAAGGAGCGCGCGUGACUGA
rnacentral:rRNA from 1 species